GUGGCUUAGUGGUAGAGUGUUUGCCUUGCAUGCAUAAGGCCCUGGGUUCGUUCCUCAGC
rnacentral:tRNA from 1 species